GAAACGCGAUAGGUAAUGUGAAUUGCAGAAUUCCGUGAAUCAUCGAAUCUUUGAACGCACAUUGCGCCUACUGGUAUUCCGGUAGGCAUGCCUGUUUGAGCGUCAGCAAAACCUCUCAACGAUCUGCUUUUUUGUAGAGAGUUGGUCAUGGGUGUUUGGAGGAAAUUGACCGUAAUGGUCAGCUCCCGCCUUAAACUUGCUGCACGACCGCAAGCUAAUGCUAGGUUAAUGGAGUGGUAUUUUUAUAAUUCCAACAACCCUUCAUGGCUCGUGGCGUUAAACACAAUGUCGUCCUCAAAAAACGACUGAAGUUUGACCUCAAAUCAGACAAGGAUACCCGCUGAACUUAAGC
rnacentral:misc_RNA from 1 species